rnacentral:lncRNA from 1 species
UUGUUAUUUAGUUAUUUAAAUGAGCCCUCUUUUCUUUUUAUAAAUUUUAUUCAAUUUUAAUCCCCCACGAAAAAUGUCAACACUCUAAUUUUCAUGAUUCUCUUAUGAUCCUAUCUUGAUUACGCCUAAUUCCCCUGUUCGACAAAAGGCCCUUUUGGAUAUAAUAAUCGCAUUGUAGCGGGUAUAGUUUAGUGGUAAAAGUGUGAUUCGUUGCAGUAAUCCCCUUAAAU